rnacentral:rRNA from 1 species
GAUGAACGCUGGCGGCGUGCCUAAUACAUGCAAGUCGAGCGAACAGACGAGGAGCUUGCUCCUCUGACGUUAGCGGCGGACGGGUGAGUAACACGUGGAUAACCUACCUAUAAGACUGGGAUAACUUCAGGAAACCGGAGCUAAUGCCGGAUAAUAUAUUGAACCGCAUGGUUCAAUAGUGAAAGACGGUUUUGCUGUCACUUAUAGAUGGAUCCGCGCCGCAUUAGCUAGUUGGUAAGGUAACGGCUUACCAAGGCAACGAUGCGUAGCCGACCUGAGAGGGUGAUCGGCCACACUGGAACUGAGACACGGUCCAGACUCCUACGGGAGGCAGCAGUAGGGAAUCUUCCGCAAUGGGCGAAAGCCUGACGGAGCAACGCCGCGUGAGUGAUGAAGGUCUUCGGAUCGUAAAACUCUGUUAUUAGGGAAGAACAAAUGUGUAAGUAACUAUGCACGUCUUGACGGUACCUAAUCAGAAAGCCACGGCUAACUACGUG